rnacentral:rRNA from 1 species
UACGGGGGGGGGCAAGCGUUGUUCGGAAUUAUUGGGCGUAAAGAGCUCGUAGGCGGCUUGUCACGUCGGGUGUGAAAGCCCGGGGCUUAACCCCGGGUCUGCAUUCGAUACGGGCUAGCUAGAGUGUGGUAGGGGAGAUCGGAAUUCCUGGUGUAGCGGUGAAAUGCGCAGAUAUCAGGAGGAACACCGGUGGCGAAGGCGGAUCUCUGGGCCAUUACUGACGCUGAGGAGCGAAAGCGUGGGGAGCGAACAGG